AGUGAACGCUGGCGGUAUGCCUAACACAUGCAAGUCGAACGGCAGCACAGUAAGAGCUUGCUCUUACGGGUGGCGAGUGGCGGACGGGUGAGGAAUACAUCGGAAUCUACUUUUUCGUGGGUGAUAACGUAGGGAAACUUACGCUAAUACCGCAUACGACCUACGGGUGAAAGCAGGGGAUCUUCGGACCUUGCGCGAUUGAAUGAGCCGAUGUCGGAUUAGCUAGUUGGCGGGGUAAAGGCCCACCAAGGCGACGAUCCGUAGCUGGUCUGAGAGGAUGAUCAGACACACGGGAACUGAGACACGGCCCAGACUCCUACGGGAGGCAGCAGUGGGGAAUAUUGGACAAUGGGCGAAAGCCUGAUCCAGCAAUGCCGCGUGGGUGAAGAAGGCCUUCGGGUUGUAAAGCCCUGUUGUUGGGAAAGAAAAGCAGAAGGUUAAUACCCCGCUAUUCUGACGGUACCCAAAGAAUAAGCACCGGCUAACUUCGUG
rnacentral:rRNA from 1 species